rnacentral:rRNA from 1 species
UACGGAGGAUGCAAGCGUUAUCCGGAAUUAUUGGGCGUAAAGCGUCCGCAGGUGGUUAUCCAAGUCUGCUGUUAAAGCGCGAGGCUUAACUUCGUACAGGCAGUGGAAACUGGGUGACUGGAGUAUGGUAGGGGUAGCGGGAAUUCCCGGUGUAGCGGUGAAAUGCGCAGAUAUCGGGAAGAACACCCGUGGCGAAGGCGGUUCUCUGGGACGGUACUGACGCUGAGACGCGAAAGCGUGGGGAGCGAACAGG